UACGUAGGGUGCAGGCGUUAAUCGGAAUUACUGGGCGUAAAGCGUGCGCAGGCGGUUUGCUAAGACAGGUGUGAAAUCCCCGGGCUUAACCUGGGAACUGCGCUUGUAACUGGCAAGCUUGAGUGUGGCAGAGGGGGGUGGAAUUCCACGUGUAGCAGUGAAAUGCGUAGAGAUGUGGAGGAACACCGAUGGCGAAGGCAGCCCCCCUGGGCUAACACUGACGCCUCAUGCACGAAAGCGUGGGGAGCAAACAGG
rnacentral:rRNA from 1 species